rnacentral:rRNA from 1 species
CUUGGUCAUUUAGAGGAAGUAAAAGUCGUAACAAGGUCUCCGUAGGUGAACCUGCGGAGGGAUCAUUACCGAGUGAGGGUUUCGGCCCGACCUCCAACCCUUUGUUAAAAAAUCCACGUUGCCUCGGGGGUGACCCGGCCGUUGUUGGUUGGGGCCCCCGGUGGACCGUUCAACUCUGCAUCCUUGCGUCGGAGUAUAAAGUAAAUGAAUCAAAACUUUCAACAACGGAUCUCUUGGUUCUGGCAUCGAUGAAGAACGCAGCGAAAUGCGAUAAGUAAUGUGAAUUGCAGAAUUCAGUGAAUCAUCGAAUCUUUGAACGCACAUUGCGCCCUUUGGCAUUCCGAAGGGCAUGCCUGUUCGAGCGUCAUUACACCACUCAAGCCUGGCUUGGUAUUGGGCGACGGGUAACCAGUCCCCCGCCUCAAUUUCGACCGGCUGGACAACCUCUAUCUCAGCGUUGUGGAAGCUAAUUCGCUGGCGAGACGGGUGGUUCAUGCCGUUAAAGUCACUAUCCAAGGUUGACCUCGGAUCAGGUAGGAAUACCCGCUGAACUUAAGCAUAUCAAUAAGCGGAGGA